rnacentral:lncRNA from 1 species
AGUUUGGAACUCUCCUAGUGGAAUAAUCACAACAAAGAUGGAUUUCCUACUGCAUCAGGUGUACUUAGAUACUCUUACAAGUAUGCAUUAAAUGCUGUAUCAUUUAGGGAAGUACAGAAAGCUACACAGAACUUCGCAACCAUUUGGGGACAAGGGCCUUUUGGUCCAGUCAAUAAAGCAACAAUGCCUGCUGGAAAGGUAGC